rnacentral:rRNA from 1 species
CAGUAGCCGCGGUAAAACGGAGGGAGCUAGCGUUGUUCGGAAUUACUGGGCGUAAAGCGCACGUAGGCGGCUUUGUAAGUUAGAGGUGAAAGCCUGGAGCUCAACUCCAGAAUUGCCUUUAAGACUGCAUCGCUUGAAUCCAGGAGAGGUGAGUGGAAUUCCGAGUGUAGAGGUGAAAUUCGUAGAUAUUCGGAAGAACACCAGUGGCGAAGGCGGCUCACUGGACUGGUAUUGACGCUGAGGUGCGAAAGCGUGGGGAGCAAACAGGAUUAGAUACCCGCGUAGUCCCUGUCUCUUAUAC